AACCACACUAUCAAUGAAUGGAUUCACCCGCGAGAUGAUGUGGCUCUUUCACAUAAGACGAGGACAUGGUAUCCUAUUACUAGCCAUCUCACGAAGAUAUACUACGUCAACAUCCUAGAUGGAGCAACCACGUCAUCUCACGGGUGAAUCCAUUCAUCGAUAGUGUGUUU
rfam:Oryza nivara chromosome 3, whole genome shotgun sequence.